CCAUCCUCACAGAGCCCUGUGAAACCAGAAGUACAGAAACCUGAGAGCCGUGAGUCCCAGGUGAGGGGUGUUGGUGUGUCCUGUGCCUCAAAGGCCAAGAAGGGCACAGCAAGCGUGACUCGUGUGUCAGCUGCUCUGUGAAAAGCUGGUGCUGACCAGGCAGGAGGCAGAAAUCUCUCCUCAAACUCCUUGGGGCGUAGACAGUUAAGUUUCUGCGUUUGUAAGGGAAACAUGGCAUUCCUUACAGCUGAGCCUCCUCCCUCGGGUUCCCACUGAAUGCCUGAGAGAUGACAGCAGAGGGUGUCUCCAGAAGGCUCCUAUUAAACAGGAGGAAUUAGCACGGAGGGAGCAACAGCGAGAUCCCAGUUUUGACCACAGAACGAGCUAAAAAGCGUUGCAUCAGCAGCUGUUUGCAGUUUCUUACCCGCUGGCUGCGCACAGCUCCUGUUCAGGGGGCUCCUGUGCUCUCCUCUUGGUACCUCCGCCCUCCUGGAGCGUGAAAGGCUGUGCUGGGAGGGUAAAUCGGCGCCAAACCGAAAGUGCUGAGGCGGCGUGAGGCAGGGCAGAUUCACCUUGGGAGGGCAGCCGUGGUUCAGACACACUUACAACUAGUCGGGUAUCCCCAGCAGCACGAACCAGGCGGACAGGGGAGCGGGUGAGCCGAGUGUGUGGACAGAUGGAACAGAUACAGACAGGAAAUGGGGAAGGAAGGGGGGAAAUGUUUGUAAAGCUUUAAGGGGGCUCUGGUUAGUUCUGAGAAAGAGGCUGAGUCCUGCAGUCCAGUUUCUGGUUUUAGCUCUGUGACUGUAUAACUUUGGGAAGCGAUUUGAGCACUUCAAGCCCGGUGUGAGCGGGGAGAGGACAAAAACUCGUGGGCACCAAGCAGCUCAUGCGAUGUGGCAGCUGCCACCACACCCUUUCCUGUUCGCCCCGCGGGCAGCCCUGCCAGCCGCGCUGCCUGAGUGGGGAGAGAGGGGGGGAAAGGAGUGCUUUCCAAGAUGCUGAUAACCCCCGGCACCCGGCAUUCCUUGGAAAAGGAGAGGUUUAGUGAGCAGCUCUGGUGGUGUGUCUCCCCUGGGACCAGUCAAACGCUCCCAAAAGCCUUGGGAGCUGCUCCGGGGUGGUGCUGACUUUUGGCCGCGCCUCAGCCUGGCUCCUGUUACAGGCGAUGUUGACUUAUGGAAAAAGGCACCGGGCAUACUUGGCAUGGGCGUUCCGAGUUAAAAAUUGUCAGUCUGGGCAAACAGACCUUUGGGGUGAACUGCAGGAGAGCCAAGUGCCUGCACUGCGUUAUUGCAGCUCUUGUCAGAACACCAAGAGUGUGACCUGGUGCUGCUCUGGGUGCCGAGCGCCCGGCUCGGCGGGUUUGGAGAAGUGCUGCAGGUUUUGGAGCUCCGUCCUUUAGACCAAACCCAUUUCCUUCCCCUCGGUGAGGUGCUCGUAGUGCCUCAGUGAGUCAAUAAGCUCUGCAUGUGAGGAAUGCACCUCGCAGCUGAAGGUGAGCCAUUGGUGUGGCUGUGCUGGAGGCAAGGAGACUAAUUAGUCCUUCCCUUAGACUUUGAGCUGCACAACUAAGAUAGGUGAGAUAUUUAGCCUGGAAUAUCCAUGUGAGGCAUUUUCAGAUCCUGGUUUUAACCUGGUGUGAAUCUCACACAGGAUCUGUGUCUUGGUCCUUAAUUCUGUAGCAGUGUCUAGUCAGGAGGAUAACGUGUACCUGGCAGAUGUGGGGCAUUCCUGAUGGAUUUGGGCACGUGUUCUAGAAGCUGCUGUUUGCUGGCAGGAAGGAACUGCUUCACCUGGGUGAAGGUGAGAUCACAGUGCUGCGGUGGGGCUUUGCUGUGAGUAUGGAGGAACAGGGAAGCAAUUUCUGUAUUAAAAUAUAAUAGAGUUUGGGUGAGUACAAAGUGUCCUAAGAAGUCCAUUCCUAGCACGGCAAGGUCCUGCUCCUUGCCUGCUGAGGAGCAGCUCUGCUGUGUGUCUGUACCACAGAAUCCCAGGAUGGGUCAGGUUGGAAGGGACCAUAGUGGGUCAUCUGGUCCAACCUCCCUCUUCAGGCAGGGGCAUCCCAAAGCACAUGGCACAGGAUUGUGUCCAGAUGGCUGGAAUAUCUCCAGUGAGGGAGACUCCACACCCU